ACCUGACCUCCGUGAAGGCUCAGUCUCAGACUGUCGCACUGCAGCAGCAGUGUUUCUUGAAGCCUGGGCUGCUGAGUGAGUGCAUGGUUGUUGCUAACCCAUGCUGAACUGGGGAAACUGAGGAAGAGGCCACACUGGUGUCCUAUUUGGCCCAGGUUGGGACAGCUAUCCAGACCUUUCUACAUCUCCAUCUGCAGACUGGAUCCUACUGCAGGGACCUGACCCGGGAGACUGGGCUUAGGAGCCAAGCCCCAACUUCCAGCCCUUCACAGCUUGUGUUACCAGGAGAACAUGGAAAUGGUGGACAUCUUGCUCAACUGGGAGGCUAUGGAGACAAAUGGUCACUCAUCCCCAACUAGGGUAUAUGGUGCCAAUUCUGGUCUCACUUUCCCAUUGGAGAAAGUCCUGAAGGAUCGGCAUUUUAAGAUUAAAAUCCCAGAACUGCCAAGUUCAUUCAUUCUUCAGUCCAUAAGUAUUCAGAGCACCCACUGUGUGCUGAGGGCUGGGCAAUGCUUUGGGAACAAGGGAGGGAAUGAGACAGGAAGAUGGCUGCUCCAUCAAGUUUAGUACAGUGGGGGAAACAGAAAAUAAACAAGUCAACAUAAAAGUAAACUCUAACUCCUUUCAGAAAGCAUCAGAAGCUACGAAGAGUGUAAAGCAGGCUAAGAAAAUGGAUUGGGCUAUUCACAAUAGCAAAGGCAUGGAAUCAGCCUAGGGGCCCACCACAAGCAGAUUACAUAAAGAAAAUGUGGUAUGUAUAUGCCAUAGAAUACUACACAGUCGUGGCCGGGUGCAGUGGCUCUUGCCUGUAAUCUCAGUACUUUGGGAGGCCAAGACGGGCGGAUCACGAGGUCAAGAGAUCGAGACCAUCCCGGCUAACACAGUGAAACCCCAU
rnacentral:lncRNA from 1 species